GGGAGAAAAUUGGCCCGCGUGAUUGAAAGAUCUGACGCGCGUUAACGCGAAUGCGUAAAAUCAUUCCAAACCUGUAACUUUGCGAACGCAAACUCCGCCGAAUGCUGCAGAAAGAACACGACGACAGAUAAGUUCUCCAAAUCCUCCGCUUUGCUCUUUUAUUGCUUUUUGUGAAGUAGUGCAUGCGUGUGUUUCUUUAACAGCAGAGUCGCCGCACGUUACUCUGCGCCUGCGAGACUCACUCGCGACUGUUGCAAUGCAACAUUUUAACUUUGUUUAUUUGAUGCUGAAUCGCAUGCCUUGAUAUUUCCAUCUUUCCAGCCCGCCGUGUCAAUCCCAGCUGCGAAUGCAAAGCAUGUAUUCAAGUCUAUUUAUUCCCGCAGGAUUAGCCGAAGGUGGGAAGAAUAUUGAGCAGCAGCGGCAGCGGCGACAAUGAAUGGGGAGAAUAAAGACCUCCUUUACGAGUUUGGAAGAGCUGCGCAGGGAGGUGAAAUUCUGAGACUCACAACAGUCAAUGAUGUCUUGAGUGUAGGUCGAAGAAGUGAAACGGGCUCUGGGUCCAUGUUGUGCUCAUCUCUUAAGACCGCUGAGAUCUGCAGGUUCGUCACCGCGGCUCAUUAAGCUGCUUUGUCCUGUUUGUCGACAGGAUGCACGCGUGUUUAUGGCAGCACAUACAUUUUCUAGCUUUCUCCGUAUGGACGUUUUUCAGACGAUUCGAAUUUUGAGUCUUAAAAAACUUCCAUAUCGCUGGAGACCAAACGGAAAAAUAUUUAAUUUUUCUAUUUUUUAUUUAAAUUCGAAAUGCGGUCAUGCUAAUUAUACAAAAUAUUUUAGUACAUUUCAUUUCAUCAGCAACAGAACUUCACUGACACGGACAUAUAUUUAAAUAAGACUUUUUUUCCUCAUCGAAUAACAAUUUAAAUUUGGAUAAAGGCAGUUUAAAACAAAGGCACAAAGCUGCUUUAGUAGCAGCCAGGUGACAUUUGUUGGUGCUUUUUUUACUUCAAAGAAUCAGCCACUGUCUUAACUCAUCUCUCUUUCUUUGUUUGUGUGGAGAGACAGGUGGAGUCAGUCCUCCUCUAAAAAGCCAGAGUUGCAGUGUUGUGUGAAAGGCGGCGUAACUGCUGAUAUAACCCGCCCGAACAGCACCGAGAGGGGGCUUCAAACCCGUCCUUCCCGUGAUCUUUUGAAGCCUCAUAAAUCCGCUUUUAUACCUCCGCAGUUUGUUAAUGAAAUGUACGUUUUAAGCACACAUGCACGUCUUAGCUCGACAAAACCUUUUAGUAUAAUAAGCCAACUCGCUCCGGCAUGAAACCAUUAGGAGGCGGGGGUGCAGGGGACAGACAGAAGAGACGGCGGCGGAGCAGCGGCAGCACAGGUGAUGGAGAGGGAACCGUCAGCACACGUGAUCGCUGCAAACUACCUGCAAGGUCACCGAACAAAUAAUUGUGAUCAUAAUAAUGCGACGCUCCACUGAUUCCUGGGGGAGGAUUUAUUUAAUCCACGUGUAGGCUACCCCUCCCUCUUCUUUCACUGGGGUCAGAGGUCAGGGUCAUCUGCAGAAAGGUGUUGGUUCAUGCACAAAGGCGCUUCAGCAGAGGGGCUCGAAGGCGAAACGGACGUGUAUUAUAUACACUCCACGAUACAUCAACUAUUUGAAGCGUUUUUAUCUUUCAAAAUUUAAAUAACACAAUAAUUAGUUCAAAAAAUUAAAACAAUUUGAUAAUAUAAAUUAUUAUUUUUUUCGCUUAUUUGGAGACAAAUUAAACUAAAAAUGAAAGAUAUUUAGGGCACCGACUAUUAAAGAGAUGAAAACGGGUUAAGAUUAUUUUUUGUCUAAAAGGUAAAUUUCCAUCAAAUAUUCAUUGUUUCAUCGUUUUAUUUUAAUACGCAACUCGUUUAUGACUAUAUUCAAAUGAUGGUUAUUUUUUUAUUCUUUGUUGUCUCCUCGUUUAUGGUCUUGGUCUCUCAAACAAAAUCCUACAUGUCACGCAUCUUUUUUUCAUCAUGUCCCGGUAGAGACAUGACACACUUCAUAUCAAUUAUUUAUCAUUUAUUGAAAUCUCAAUUAGCCCAACAAAUACUCCGGUUGUGUGUUCCUUGAAUCUGAAACGACAAACGUGAGACUUCUCAUGAAAAAUUAAAAUCCUCUUUGCCUGACUUGCAUUUUUGCGUGGAAAUAAAGCAUUUGUAAGACCAGAUUUUAAUUAAUGACUGUGGGUGAGGGAGCAGUUGGGGGCAGCAGCCAGUAAAACGAUAUGAUAAACUAAUGGCAUUAUUAGCGCGCCAUUAGGCUGUGUUAAUUAUUUUACACCAGUAACCAAAUCUUCAGCUUGUCACAAUUAAUAAAACAAAAAUGCUCCAAACGUGAAAGUCCCACGACAGCAACACGGUGAUAAUACACGGAAAUACUGAAUAUUUAUUUUCCCUAAUUUGUUUUAAUGUUGAACCAAAGCGGCAGAGCCUUGAACGACGCGUGAGCUCUCGGCUGUUUUUUCCCCUCUUCUUUUUUGGAAAUCACAAUGUCCAGCUCUUCUCAAAGAAUCCACUCUAUCAACCUGCGAGUUUCUGUCAAACAAUAUGAUGGAGCUCGUUCUUAACCCUCCCUCCUGCAGGAUCAGCCCGAGCCAGAACCAGCCGUCACAACAAAGCGCGGAGGGCCGAAAAUAGACACUGAUCCACGUGCGUAAAGACGCAACAGCAGAUCGAGCUGGAGAGUUACAGCAGGCCACGCUGACGGAAGCCGUUGACCUGCACCUUACUCAUCUAUUUAUUUAUUCACUGUUUCCUUAAACAGCUGUUGACACCCAGUGUAAAAAUAAAAGCGUAAAAACAUA